rnacentral:rRNA from 1 species
UACGAAGGGGGCGAGCGUUGUUCGGAUUUACUGGGCGUAAAGGGCGCGCAGGCGGCUAUCCAAGUCAGGCGUGAAAGCCCCGGGCUUAACCUGGGAGGUGCGUCUGAUACUGGAUGGCUUGAGAUUGGGAGAGGGAUGCGGAAUUCCCGGUGUAGUGGUGAUAUGCGUAGAUAUCGGGAGGAACACCAGUGGCGAAGGCGGCUCUCUGGGCCUUUCCUGACGCUGAGACGCGAAAGCGUGGGGAGCGAACCGG